UAUAUACAUAUAUAUAUAUAUAUACCACUUGCAACAAUAGAAGAUGAAGAAUGGGAAAUACAUUGCAAUUUGAUUUUUUAGGUUUAAAUAUAAAGCUAUCAAAUAACACCAUAUCGGUCAUUUAUCCAACAAAUAUUCACCAAGUAUAUAAUCGUUCAAACUGGUUCGAAAAUACAUAUAUGCAUGCAUACCCAUCUCUAAGCAGAGGAAGGGGUAACAAGAGCAGGAGAAUCAGAUUGUGCAGCCAUGGAAAGUUCAAGUUGCCUUAGACAAGCAGGAGGCUGAAGAGAGAGCAACUCUGGAGAAAUGAGAUUGUCCCAGCCUUGAAUUGGGUUGUUAUUUUCUGAACCAUCCCAUCCUAUAUGUGUCACAUGCUUCACAUCUGUUGGAAGCCCUAUUUCCAUUUCUGGUUCUUCCAUUUCUUCUCCGUAUACAAAUAAUUGAGAGAAGGUCUUGAAACCCUUGACAAGCCUAUGAAACCGAUCCGAUAUGUUAGGCUUUGAAAGAGCAAGAAAUUUCAAUCCAUUCUUCAUACUAUCAGUGCUUGAUAAGCUUUCCUCGUCUUCUUCUUUUCUUCUUAUUGAAGAUGGGUUUGUGUGAUGGGGAGCUGGUGGGUGCUUGGUUCUUCUGGGGUUGUGCACCCCAAUAGCCACACUUGAUUCAGAGACACAACCAAUGGAGAAAGGAAGGAGAACAAGCCUUUCCAUUCUAUCUCUCAUUUCUUCAUCAACAAUCAAGCAAAAGAAAAGAAAAUUAAAGGGAUUAAAGCAUAUGUGAAGUGGACUGAGAAACAAAAACAAAAAGCUAGAUUAUAGGGUAGUUGAGGAAAGACUAAUAGACAACCCUAGAACUGGAUUGGAGUUUGUUAUAUUGGGUGGUGUGGGCGUG
rnacentral:misc_RNA from 1 species